UUGAACGCUGGCGGCAUGCUUUACACAUGCAAGUCGAACGGCAGCGCGGGCUUCGGCCUGGCGGCGAGUGGCGAACGGGUGAGUAAUACAUCGGAACGUGCCCAGUAGUGGGGGAUAGCUCGGCGAAAGCCGGAUUAAUACCGCAUACGACCUGAGGGUGAAAGCGGGGGAUCUUCGGACCUCGCGCUAUUGGAGCGGCCGAUGGCAGAUUAGCUAGUUGGUGGGGUAAAGGCCUACCAAGGCGACGAUCUGUAGCUGGUCUGAGAGGACGACCAGCCACACUGGGACUGAGACACGGCCCAGACUCCUACGGGAGGCAGCAGUGGGGAAUUUUGGACAAUGGGCGAAAGCCUGAUCCAGCAAUGCCGCGUGUGUGAUGAAGGCCUUCGGGUUGUAAAGCACUUUUGGCGGGAACGAAAAGGACUGUGCCAAUACCACGGUUCGAUGACGGUACCCGCAGAAUAAGCACCGGCUAGCUACGUG
rnacentral:rRNA from 1 species